CCGAGGCAGCCUGGCUUAGGGGAAAGGGAACAGCUUUAGAGCCAGACCGCCUGGGUUU
ensembl:miRNA